UCGAAAUUCGAAGUUUUUUUUCUUCAAAUCCUUCACUCGAAGUUAGUGAAUCGGCCCCUACAUCUGAAUGUCUAUAUGUGUGCAUUAAUGAAGUUCUGUUCUUUAGUUUUCUUUGGGUACUUUGAAACUGGAAGUUGGUAGAAUUAUUUCACUCAGAGAGAAGAACAUCUCAGGGCAGUCAGGUGAUUAAGAAUUUAACUCAAUUCAGCUAAAGAGAAUCAUCUGCCAUCUAGCUUGGUCUUAUCUAUGGAUUACUAGGAACUGUGCUUUUCUAAAUAAGACAUUUAAAGUUAUUACCCAUGCUUUCAUAAAAUAUUAAAUAUUCCCAGUGUGAUUAAGGAGGGUUUGAGUUUUGAUUUUUUGAGUUUUGAUUUAAUCACUACACUUCCUGAAAUAUAUUAGAUAAUCAGCACAAAUGGAGAAAUCACCUCAAAACUUUCUUGUGCCUGCUUAGAAAUGGUCAUGUAUACAUACCCCUGCUCUGAACUUCAUUAUUCAACUUGAAUUUGAACUUUUGAACUGAGACAAGCUUUGUAAUUAAUGUAGCAUACCCUGCAGCCAUAUAAUGAAAUACUGCUUCUUUCUAAAUACUCAUUGGACUGUUCAUAUGUGUUUUAGGUCAGUGAAGGGACCAGAAGUCUUACAUCAUUCAGUUUUCCGAUACCUGGAACUGCAACUGAUGACUAUGCUUCUAAGAAGAGCGACACUUCUGAAAUUCAUGGCAUCAGGACAGUGGAAAUAAAAAAGGGGCCCUCAGACUCACUGGGAGUCAGCAUUGCUGGCGGUGUUGGUAGCCCUCUGGGAGAUGUACCAAUUUUCAUUGCUAUGAUGCAUGCAAAUGGAGUUGCAGCCCAAAUUUAGGGUAUGUUUGUUUUACAGAAUAUAAGUGCCUUUAAUCCUAUAAUACCCAAUUCGCUAUAGCUUUUUUAGAACAUUUCUUACUCAUCUGGAUUAUGUAGCUUUUAUAUGUGCACUAUUAAAAUGUUUUCGUGAUCUCAUCUUUUCCCACAAGAGGGCGAUAUACUCCAAAGAUUCAAUUCACGUGGUCACGAAUUUUCCUUGCACCCUUUAACUUUCUGUUUUGGUAGAGUUUAUAAAGUCUAAUUCGUUAUUUAGCAUACAAUCCAUGUUGUUCUGGUGUUCUAAUUGUAAAAUAGAAUCUUAAAUGGCAUGUAAAAAUCAUUUCAAUAAAAUAGGCACCCCAGC